rnacentral:rRNA from 1 species
UACGUAGGAGGCAAGCGUUGUCCGGAAUUACUGGGUGUAAAGCGCGUGUAGGCGGCAGGCCAAGUCUGUGGUGAAAUCGCUCGGCUCAACUGGGCGGGGUCCAUGGAAACUGGUCAGCUGGAGGACGGUAGAGGUGAGUGGAAUUCCCGGUGUAGUGGUGAAAUGCGCAGAUAUCGGGAGGAACACCAGCGGCGAAGGCGGCACUCUGGGCUGGAACUGACGCUGAGGAGCGAAAGCGUGGGGAGCGAACAGG